UACGUAGGGGGCAAGCGUUAUCCGGAAUUACUGGGUGUAAAGGGUGAGUAGGCGGCAUGAUAAGUAAGAUGUGAAAGCCCGCAGCUUAACUGCGGGAUUGCAUUUUAAACUAUUGAGCUAGAGUACAGGAGAGGAAAGCGGAAUUCCCAGUGUAGCGGUGAAAUGCGUAGAUAUUGGGAAGAACACCAGUGGCGAAGGCGGCUUUCUGGACUGAAACUGACGCUGAGGCACGAAAGCGUGGGGAGCGAACAGG
rnacentral:rRNA from 3 species